AUUGAACGCUGGCGGCAGGCCUAACACAUGCAAGUCGAGCGGCAGCGGGAAAGUAGCUUGCUACUUUUGCCGGCGAGCGGCGGACGGGUGAGUAAUGACUGGGAAAUUGCCCAGUCGAGGGGGAUAACAGUUGGAAACGACUGCUAAUACCGCAUACGCCCUACGGGGGAAAGCAGGGGACCUUCGGGCCUUGCGCGAUUGGAUAUGCCCAGGUGGGAUUAGCUAGUUGGUGAGGUAAUGGCUCACCAAGGCGACGAUCCCUAGCUGGUCUGAGAGGAUGAUCAGCCACACUGGAACUGAGACACGGCCCAGACUCCUACGGGAGGCAGCAGUGGGGAAUCUUGGACAAUGGGGGAAACCCUGAUCCAGCGAUGCCGCGUGUGUGAAGAAGGCCUUCGGGUUGUAAAGCACUUUAGUUGGGGAAGAAAAGUAAUGAGUGAAUAACUGAUUGCUCUGACGGUACCCAAAGAAUAAGCACCGGCUAACUCUGUGCCAGCCGCCGCGGUAA
rnacentral:rRNA from 1 species